rfam:Myotis davidii contig40190, whole genome shotgun sequence.
GGCAGUUCUCAGGUGAUGCACCCCAGAAUUGGGCUCCCUCCUCUCUGGUUCCGGGGUGCAUUACCUGAGAACCACC